rnacentral:rRNA from 1 species
GACGAACGCUGGCGGCGUGCUUAACACAUGCAAGUCGAACGCUGAAGCUCAGCUUUUGUUGGGUGGAUGAGUGGCGAACGGGUGAGUAACACGUGAGUAACCUGCCUCCUUCUUUGGGAUAACGCCCGGAAACGGGUGCUAAUACUGGAUAUUCACUGGUCUUCGCAUGGGGGUUGGUGGAAAGGGUUUUUCUGGUGGGGGAUGGGCUCGCGGCCUAUCAGCUUGUUGGUGGGGUGAUGGCCUACCAAGGCUUUGACGGGUAGCCGGCCUGAGAGGGUGACCGGUCACAUAGGGACUGAGAUACGGCCCAGACUCCUACGGGAGGCAGCAGUGGGGAAUAUUGCACAAUGGGCGAAAGCCUGAUGCAGCGACGCCGCGUGAGGGAUGGAGGCCUUCGGGUUGUGAACCUCUUUCGCUCAUGGUCAAGCCGCAACAAUGGUUGUGGUGAGGGUAGUGGGUAAAGAAGCGCCGGCUAACUACGUG